UUGUCUUCUUCCACAGUUCGAAGAAUUGCUGAUAAAUUUGCUAAGCGCCUCCGGUCGCCUCUCCUCAAACUUGGCCGGCGGCGAAGGCACACUGAGGCAGUAAGAAAACAAUGGACCUUGCUCCGUUCAAGCGUGACAUUCAUGAGCGCUUAUAGAUGAUUUUGCUGCGUGUGAGUCAACAAGUUUUGCUGAUCUGAAGAGGGUAUGGAUUAACAAGAAGUUGUCUUACAUUUUCGAGGCACGUCCCUCUACCAACUUGGCCCUCUUUAUGAAAGCAUUGUAUGCCCAUUCAAUUGGUAGGCUCUUAUAUCAUAAGCUUGACUAGGAUUACUUGUUGAUCAACACCAGUAGGCACUUUAGUUUAUUUGAUGGAGUGUUGUAAAUGCAUAGAUGGAAAUUUUUCUGGUGUUGUGCUGUUAAUCGUGGUAAAUGGUCUGUUUGUAUGUGAAAAACCUGCAGAUAGAACUAAAUCCAACUAGUAUUGGUUCUCUUUUCUGUCAUGUAUGUAGUACAUUAGUACAAGUUGCUUGUUUAAGUACUGGUGGUAUUUUUGAGCAUUAUGAGUGAUAUUUAGGAAACAGUAGGUUAUAUGUAGCUCGUAGGCCUAAAAAUUAUCCAUCUCUUCCACUAAAUGGUUCUAUGGGUUUUGGAAAAGUCUUAUUGAUGACCUGAAAAUCUAAUUCCUUAAAUAUGUAGUUCAUGUUCCAACUCUGAGAAUCCUGUUUCUGUUUUGUAUUGUGUGAGCGAACUACCAUAUUGUAUUGUGUUGAUAUUCAUACUAUCGAACAUGUCACUGAAGUAUUUCACUGAUUUGGUUAAUCAACAGUUUUAGUAGCAUGUGGUACCGCCUAUUUGCCAAUGGGCUUGCAAUCUUUAGCGCAUAGUUAGAUACGUAGUUCUUGUUUCACCCUUGAGAAUUCUUUAUCCCUUUGUUUUAUAUGAGUGGCCUAUCUCAGAGUUUCGAUGUGGUGCUUCAUAUUAUCAAAAUUGUCCAAAUAGGAAGCCACAUAAUCUUGUGGGAAAACCAUUCAAGCCUCGUUUUAAGAUCUAUCUAUCUCUUGGUAUGUAUGGAGAUUUUAUUCUGAAGUAUUGAACAUGAUUCGAGUUAGCUUUACGAGUGUGUUUCAAUGAACAUGGCACUACACCGUAUCAAUAUCAAAUGGCACUGCACUACAUAAUAUAAUAUGAAAAAGAAAGAUAGAUAGGAUACUCAUUAUUUGUUUGGCCAGGCAUUCCUAUGCGUCAUCUCUGGCUUAUAAGGUUGAGAAAUUUUGUUACCAGUUCAUUCUGUUGUUUACUGUCGGCUAAAUUGUAUGUGUCUCUUUAAUGGUAAUAUGCAUGAUUAUGUAACACUUACACAUAUGGAUAUAUGUAUGUAUUCAAAUAUGUGCUAAAAGGAGUUGCUGUACAAAAUACUGGGGUCAGUAUCUCUGUUUUAACUUUCGAAUCGAAUGUGCUAUGAGCGUAAGAUCAAGACUGAUGAGGAAUUGGCUGAAUUGAUCAUUUCAGAUCAAAGGCUAGAAAAGAGGAGACUCAUCAUGGCCAGGUAUCAUAGAUUAUACAAGAUUUGAAUCCCACACUUCUUCACCCACAAGGAUUUAUUAGCGAAAUCGCCUGGGUCGACGCGAAAAGACGCCUCAGUGACCUUGUUGAACCCGUGCCGCACAAAGAACACCACCACGUGAUCCCCCGUUAAAUUGACGCCUCCUGGGGAUCCUAUAUCCGAAACAACGCUGGAAUUGAACUGGCCUCGAUAGCCUUCACCGUCGUUGUUGGUUUUGAGAUUGUACUCACAUUCCAACAGAAACCCACUCCUGGAUUCCGACCCAUCAAGUCGGAAAUCCUCCGCAACAACAACGGAUAGAGCGAAACCCAAGCAUGAGUCUACGGUUGAUGUUGUAUGAUGAGGAGGAAACUUGAUGUUUAUCUCACAUCCCUCACUUUGAUAGCUGAACCAUCUAGGAAUUUCAUUUCCUGGACAAAGACCGUUACAGAACAACCCUCCUGUAAACGAACAAUUAAUGAAUCUAGUCAUGAAUAUUUAGUAGCUGCACUAUCCAAAAACUUAAUUAUAAAAAAAGCGGAG